rnacentral:rRNA from 1 species
GUUUGAUCAUGGCUCAGAUUGAACGCUGGCGGCAGGCCUAACACAUGCAAGUCGAACGGUAACAGGAAGAAGCUUGCUUCUUUGCUGACGAGUGGCGGACGGGGGAGUAAUGUCUGGGAAACUGCCUGAUGGAGGGGGAUAACUACUGGAAACGGUAGCUAAUACCGCAUAACGUCGCAAGACCAAAGAGGGGGACCUUCGGGCCUCUUGCCAUCGGAUGUGCCCAGAUGGGAUUAGCUUGUUGGUGGGGUAACGGCUCACCAAGGCGACGAUCCCUAGCUGGUCUGAGAGGAUGACCAGCCACACUGGAACUGAGACACGGUCCAGACUCCUACGGGAGGCAGCAGUGGGGAAUAUUGCACAAUGGGCGCAAGCCUGAUGCAGCCAUGCCGCGUGUAUGAAGAAGGCCUUCGGGUUGUAAAGUACUUUCAGCGGGGAGGAAGGGAGUAAAGUUAAUACCUUUGCUCAUUGACGUUACCCGCAGAAGAAGCACCGGCUAACUCCGUGCCAGCAGCCGCGGUAAUACGGAGGGUGCAAGCGUUAAUCGGAAUUACUGGGCGUAAAGCGCACGCAGGCGGUUUGUUAAGUCAG